ACGUUUAGGGUUUAAAGUUGAUGUGUUAGGGUUUAGAUUUGAAGGUUUUAGGGUUUUAGGGUUUAGGGUUCGAAUUUCAGAAAAAUUUAGGGUUUAGGGUUUACGUUUAGGGUUUAGAGUUGAUGUUUUAGGGUUUAGAUUUGAAGGUUUAGGGUUUUAGGGUUUAGGGUUCGAAUUUCAGAAAAAUGUAGGGUUUAGGGUUUACGUUUAGGGUUUAGAGUUGAUGUUUUAGGGUUUAGAUUUGAAGGUUUAGGGUUUAGAGUUGACGUUUCAGGGUUUAGGGUUUAAAGUUGAUGUUUCAUGGUUUAGAGUUUAGAGUUGUUGAUUUAGGGUUUAGAGUUGAUGUUUUAAGUUUAGAUUAGUUAAUCAUAU
rnacentral:lncRNA from 1 species